GCCCCCGUGGCGGAAAUGGUAGACGCAUGAGGCUUAAAACCUCAGAGAUUUCAACGAUCUGUGCCGGUUCGAGUCCGGCCGGGGGCACCA
rnacentral:tRNA from 1 species